UUUGACAAUUCUUUUCCCUUUCUACCCUCCUCUCCCUUCAACAUCACAGUCCAUUACACAACCCUGCGAUUACACAACCUCUCUCUUCAUGAAUUAGCAAUUAAUAUCAUUAAUCUGCCAUUUGAAUGCAGAAUUCGACGUUCCCAAUCCCCCAACCGACGAAUCACAAACGUUCCCGUUUGCCGUUCCCACCUUCCAAUUAAAGAGAGGUAAACCCUAGCAACCAGAUCCCCCAUUCCAAAACCUGCAAUCGCUACAACAUAACCGAAGCUACUUUCUGUCCAGAAAUCUCCAAUCUGAGAAAAAAAAAACUUGAAAUUCAUUCAUGGCAAUGGCGAAAUACGAUCUGACACCUCGAAUUGCUCCAAAUCUGGACCGGCAUCUCGUGUUUCCGCUGCUCGAAUUCACUCGGGAGCGUGAACUAUACCCGAACGAUCAGAUUCUCAAAGCGAAGAUCGAGCUUUUGAACAACACUAAUAUGGUUGAUUACGCUAUGGAUAUUCACAAAGUCUCUGUACCACACGGAUUAUGUUCCUCAAGCAACUAAAAGAUGUUCAUAACCUUAGAGAUCUUGCUGGUAGUGAACGCCUUUUUCAAGAGCGGGUCAACCGGGGAUCGGCUAAAAGAAACUCAGGAGUUUGUCAUCACGAAGUGAUGACAUAUUUGACAUAGCAAAGAAGGAAGAGCACAUACCUUAUGAAAACUCAAAGGUCACAUACUUCAGCCCUGCUUAGGUGGCGAUUCAAAGAUGUUAAUGGUGGUCAACGUUUCUACAGCACCAUCUUUGGUCAACGAGUCAGUUCAUUGACCACCUGAUUGCUUGAUACGUAUCAUGUUUCGCACCAUUCAUCCAGAUUACUUUCCACCCGAAGUCGUAACAUAUGAGCAAUGGGCACUGUCAACACCGGAGAAAAAGAGCAUAUUGGGCUGGAUCCAAAACACUUUUUGUCAGAAAUUAUGUGUUUUAAAAGCAACUAUUCUGCCAAAUAUGAUCUUCAAGAAUAUAUUAUCUCAAUACAGAUUUAAUCUUUUAUAAAAACCAAAGUAUUUUAGUGAGGUUUAUGCACUAAACACACUUGUUGCCGACUUCUAACCCAUUCAACAUGUUUUUUGGUUAAGCAUACCAUCUCUGGUAAUGUUUUAUUUAGUUACUCUUUUGUGGUACUUUCCAUUGUAGAAGUUUCUUGUCUUGUAUUUAUAAUAUAUUCAAUGCAGGUUGGAGCUAAACAUCAACAAGCAUUUAUUAGGAGAAUUUGUAGAAUUCAAAGGGAAGAAUGAUGAUAUCCCGUCCUUAAGAAACAUAAAGAGGUCGAAAGUUAGCCGUGUGAUGAUCCAAAAAAUAAGCAUGUUUGGUUUAGUGAACGCUGCUGGGAAGCAUGAACAAGCGUUCGAGCUUGCCGGAGGAUUCGCUCUGUCGAAGUACUUUGAUGACAACAGUCUUUUUAAAAGCACUGGGACUGUCUGGACUAUAAGUGCAGUAGUGCACAUACCAUAACUGUAGCCAUCGGCUCCGGCAGGUUGUCACUGGCGUGUGCCAUUGCACGGCUGGGUUGGAUCGCUGGACUGAAGGUUCGGUUUCUGUUUUCAUUUGUAGAUGAAACUAUACUUAUAUGAAAGUUGUUCAAAACAAUCUUGGUACUUGCUUCUUAAAAUUCCAUCUUAUUUAUAAAAACCGAUUGUUCAAACAUUUGAUAACUAACUUAUUUGGCUCGCAUACAAACCAAGUGGAGCUAGGGUGGGCUCGGAGUAUAGUAUGUUUACAAACCAAGUCGAGCUUGGUUAUUUAUCUUUAUAAGUUAUAUUCUUUUAAAUAUACUGAUAUAUAAAACAAAAAGAAAAAUAUUUUCAACAAAUAUAUGAUGUAAAAUUUGCGUCUUAAUUUAGGUUAUAAUCUAUACGUAUUAAAAAUUUGGGCUUCAAUCUAAACGUUGGAACGAGCGGGCCAAAGAGUGAACUUAAGUUGUCUCGUGUUCGACCCAACUCUUUUACAAAUUAUGUCUACCCGGUUUUGAGAGUCCUGAGACUGGGCCUCAAGCUGUUUAGAUAGCCCUAAGCAAAUUCAAUACACCCAGAGCGAAUCAAUGUCCAAUUAUAAAAUAUUUUAAAACUUUUCAGGUGGUUUCAAGUUAAACUUGGUGGAAUUGUCCAGUACGCCAAUCUUAUUGGAGUGGCAAUCGGGUACACCAUUGCAGCAUCCAUCAACAUGAUUGAUUGAAGGAUAUUGCUACAAGAGUUGGUGUUCAUGAGAUUGAUUUUAUGGAACACACCUCACCUGCAUUAAAGGGUAAAGACAAAGAACCCGAUAUAUAUGCAGUCUUAUACUCUUUCUAUAGAAGCCCUCCAAAAGACGGUGCAAGGUUGGUAACAACUACAAAGAACAAGUUGAGGUGGAAAUUUCAGCCCAAUUCACCAAAAAUGGGUCCAUUCAACUUAUAUUUUUCAAAUGUUGCUCUGUAUUAACUUGUACAUCAUGUUUUAAGUGGUGUAUUUGUUUCAUUGACGAAUCUAUUGUUUUAUUCUUUUUUAAAAAUAAGGUAUUGUAGAUGGUAGUGCUGGUGGUAAGUUGGUGAUAUGUUCAUGUCUCGCAUUAUUGACUCCGCCGCAACGCGCGGGUC